AAUGUUUGACGCCAUUGACUUUUUAUCACAUGUUUGACCGUUCGUCUUAUUCAAAAAAUUUAAGUAAUUAUUAAUUCUUUUCCUAUCAUUUGAUUCAUUGUUAAAUAUAUUUUAUGUAGGCAUAUAAUUUUACAUAUCUCAUAAAAAUUUUUGAAUAAGACGAACGGUCAAACAUGUGCUAAAAAGUCAACGGUGUCAAACAUU
rnacentral:pre_miRNA from 1 species